ACGCUCGACACCUACGGGAGCAGCAGUGGGGAAUAUUGCACAAUGGGGGAAACCCUGAUGCAGCAACGCCGCGUGAAGGAAGACGGUUUUCGGAUUGUAAACUUCUGUUCUUAGUGAAGAUAGUGACGGUAGCUAAGGAGCAAGCCACGGCUAACUACGUGCCAGCAGCCGACGGUAAUCUGAGGCGGGCUGGACAAGGC
rnacentral:rRNA from 1 species